rnacentral:rRNA from 1 species
GAGUUUGAUCCUGGUCAGAACGAACGCUGGCGGCAGGCCUAACACAUGCAAGUCGAGCGGUAGCACAGAGAGCUUGCUCUCGGGUGACGAGCGGCGGACGGGUGAGUAAUGUCUGGGAAACUGCCUGAUGGAGGGGGAUAACUACUGGAAACGGUAGCUAAUACCGCAUAAUGUCGCAAGACCAAAGUGGGGGACCUUCGGGCCUCAUGCCAUCAGAUGUGCCCAGAUGGGAUUAGCUAGUAGGUGGGGUAAUGGCUCACCUAGGCGACGAUCCCUAGCUGGUCUGAGAGGAUGACCAGCCACACUGGAACUGAGACACGGUCCAGACUCCUACGGGAGGCAGCAGUGGGGAAUAUUGCACAAUGGGCGCAAGCCUGAUGCAGCCAUGCCGCGUGUGUGAAGAAGGCCUUCGGGUUGUAAAGCACUUUCAGCGGGGAGGAAGGCGAUAAGGUUAAUAACCUUGGCGAUUGACGUUACCCGCAGAAGAAGCACCGGCUAACUCCGUGCCAGCAGCCGCGGUGAUACGGAGGGUGCAAGCGUUAAUCGGAAUUACUGGGCGUAAAGCGCACGCAGGCGGUCUGUCAAGUCGGAUGUGAAAUCCCCGGGCUCAACCUGGGAACUGCAUUCGAAACUGGCAGGCUAGAGUCUUGUAGAGGGGGGUAGAAUUCCAGGUGUAGCGGUGAAAUGCGUAGAGAUCUGGAGGAAUACCGGUGGCGAAGGCGGCCCCCUGGACAAAGACUGACGCUCAGGUGCGAAAGCGUGGGGAGCAAACAGGAUUAGAUACCCUGGUAGUCCACGCCGUAAACGAUGUCGAUUUGGAGGUUGUGCCCUUGAGGCGUGGCUUCCGGAGCUAACGCGUUAAAUCGACCGCCUGGGGAGUACGGCCGCAAGGUUAAAACUCAAAUGAAUUGACGGGGGCCCGCACAAGCGGUGGAGCAUGUGGUUUAAUUCGAUGCAACGCGAAGAACCUUACCUGGCCUUGACAUCCACAGAACUUUCCAGAGAUGGAUUGGUGCCUUCGGGAACUGUGAGACAGGUGCUGCAUGGCUGUCGUCAGCUCGUGUUGUGAAAUGUUGGGUUAAGUCCCGCAACGAGCGCAACCCUUAUCCUUUGUUGCCAGCGGUUAGGCCGGGAACUCAAAGGAGACUGCCAGUGAUAAACUGGAGGAAGGUGGGGAUGACGUCAAGUCAUCAUGGCCCUUACGACCAGGGCUACACACGUGCUACAAUGGCAUAUACAAAGAGAAGCGACCUCGCGAGAGCAAGCGGACCUCAUAAAGUAUGUCGUAGUCCGGAUUGGAGUCUGCAACUCGACUCCAUGAAGUCGGAAUCGCUAGUAAUCGUAGAUCAGAAUGCUACGGUGAAUACGUUCCCGGGCCUUGUACACACCGCCCGUCACACCAUGGGAGUGGGUUGCAAAAGAAGUAGGUAGCUUAACCUUCGGGAGGGCGCUUACCACUUUGUGAUUCAUGACUGGGGUGAAGUCGUAACAAGGUAGCCGUAGGAU